UGUAAUUUUUUUAUUGAAAGAUAGACAUGAUGCACUGGGUAAAAGGAACUGUGGUAAUUAGGCCUUUACUUGUGUAGUUAUAAUGUGCGGGGCAAAGCAAGUGUUCUGUAGUCCUAUGAUGAGGCCUCAGUCUUCUGGUGAACCUGUGCCCCUGAGCUGUGAAUGUCACUGGUGCUUCUCAGCGCCCCCACCCCCCACUUAGGUGGAACAGGAUGGCUAGAGUGAGCUAGAGUUGGGUAUUUCCUUUUCUACAGGUAGGUUGGGCUCUGGUAAAACAGUUUCUCCUGAGGGUAGGCUUUGGUAAGAAGAACAGAAUGCUCUAGUGUUUUUCAAAAUAUUUACUCUUCCUCUUUCUCUGUGGAAGAGUAUGCGGACGUAUGAGAGAAUUUUCACCAAUCUUUACUGUGAGUACCUGUUAGAGCUCCUGGAGGUAAAACUCAUGACAAUGUGGGCCCCACAUCCCCUGAUGACUGGGUCCCUGGAGUUUCAUCUCUAAGGCUUGUCCACACUGAGGCUCUAGCAAUUCAUCAGUCACAGUUCAGAGUUUCCUGCCCCGGAACUGGUUCCUAAGGAGGUUUCUGCUUGGUGGUUUCUACUCAGGUCGGAUGCUCCAGUGUCCUCCAGGAGGCAGAGCAGGAACCAGAAUGUCCUUGCACAGACAUGGCUUCCUUCCUCCUUGGGAGCCCACAGCAGGAGCUUGUUCUGUCCCAUUCCAGUUUCAAAAUAACAGUACAAUGCAACCCCAACACUACGAUGACUGAAAAAUACUUAAUUUACUUUUUUCUGUUUUCCCUUGCAGUUCUUUUUAUCUUUGGGGUAUAUUCCACUAGAGAGAUGCAGGCAAAUUACUGUGCUUUAAAGUCAUUUGGAAUAAUUCCUCUCUGUGCAAUUAUGCUACCAGCUGGAGACACGUUUAGAUUUAUUAGUUCUAUUUUAUUUGUUCUUAGCUGUCUUUUUCCCUGGUUGUCUCCAGUAAACUAGCUGGCCUAGUGGUUUAGCUUGUUGUUGUCAUGGAGCCACAAGCCUGCUCUCAAUUGCUUACCACCUACCUCUCUGCUGUUUCUGAGAGCAUCUUCUGGCUUCAGCUUCCCCCACACUGUUCCAAAUAAAAAGUCAAUUCCUUUGAAAA